rnacentral:rRNA from 1 species
GUAGGGAAUAUUGGACAAUGGGCGAAAGCCUGAUCCAGCCAUGCCGCGUGAUAGAUGAAGGCCCUCUGGGUUGUAAAUAUCUUUUAUCUGGGAAGAAACUCCUCUAUUCUUAGAGGCCUGACGGUACCAGAGAAAUAAGCACCGGCUAACUCCGUGCCAGCAGCCGCGGUAAUACGGAGGGUGCAAGCGUUAUCCGGAUUCACUGGGUUUAAAGGGUGCGUAGGCGGGUUGAUAAGUCAGUGGUGAAAGCUCCGGGCUUAACUUGGAAACUGCCAUGGAUACUGUCAGUCUUGAAUGUCGUAGAGGUAAGCGGAAUGUUGCAUGUAGCGGUGAAAUGCUUAGAUAUGUUACAGAACACCAAUUGCGAAGGCAGCUUACUAUGCGAUAAUUGACGCUGAGGCACGAAAGCGUGGGGAGCAAACAGGAUUAGAAACCCCUGUAGUCC